UACGAAGGGGGCUAGCGUUGUUCGGAUUUACUGGGCGUAAAGCGCACGUAGGCGGAUCGUUAAGUCAGGGGUGAAAUCCCGGAGCUCAACUCCGGAACUGCCUUUGAUACUGGCGAUCUUGAGGCUGGAAGAGGUUAGUGGAAUUCCCAGUGUAGAGGUGAAAUUCGUAGAUAUUGGGAAGAACACCAGUGGCGAAGGCGGCUAACUGGUCCAGAUCUGACGCUGAGGUGCGAAAGCGUGGGGAGCAAACAGG
rnacentral:rRNA from 1 species